GAUGAACGCUGGCGGCGUGCCUAAUACAUGCAAGUCGAGCGAACAGACGAGGAGCUUGCUCCUCUGACGUUAGCGGCGGACGGGUGAGUAACACGUGGAUAACCUACCUAUAAGACUGGGAUAACUUCGGGAAACCGGAGCUAAUACCGGAUAAUAUAUUGAACCGCAUGGUUCAAUAGUGAAAGUCGGUUUUUCUGUCACUUAUAGAUGGAUCCGCGCCGCAUUAGCUAGUUGGUAAGGUAACGGCUUACCAAGGCGACGAUGCGUAGCCGACCUGAGAGGGUGAUCGGCCACACUGGAACUGAGACACGGUCCAGACUCCUACGGGAGGCAGCAGUAGGGAAUCUUCCGCAAUGGGCGGAAGCCUGACGGAGCAACGCCGCGUGAGUGAUGAAGGUCUUCGGAUCGUAAAACUCUGUUAUUAGGGAAGAACAAAUGUGUAAGUAACUAUGCACGUCUUGACGGUACCUAAUCAGAAAGCCACGGCUAACUACGUG
rnacentral:rRNA from 1 species